rnacentral:rRNA from 1 species
UACUUGGGGAGGGAUCAUUAGUGAUUUGUUUAAUUGCACCACAUGUGUUUUUUAUUGAACAAAUUUCUUUGGUGGCGGGAGCAAUCCUACCGCCAGAGGUUAUAACUAAACCAAACUUUUUAUUUACAGUCAAACUUGAUUUAUUAUUACAAUAGUCAAAACUUUCAACAACGGAUCUCUUGGUUCUCGCAUCGAUGAAGAACGCAGCGAAAUGCGAUACGUAAUAUGAAUUGCAGAUAUUCGUGAAUCAUCGAAUCUUUGAACGCACAUUGCGCCCUUUGGUAUUCCAAAGGGCAUGCCUGUUUGAGCGUCAUUUCUCCCUCAAACCCCCGGGUUUGGUGUUGAGCAAUACGCUAGGUUUGUUUGAAAGAAUUUACCUGGAAAACUAAUUUAAGCGACUUAAGGUUAACCCAAACGCUUAUUUUGCUAGUGGGCCCCCCAAUUUAUUUUAUAACUUUUACCUCAAAACAGGGAGGACUACCCCCUGAAA